UACGGGGGGGAGCAAGCGUUGUUCGGAUUCAUUGGGCGUAAAGGGUGCGUAGGCGGCGCGGGUAAGUCGGGUGUGAAAUCUCGGAGCUUAACUCCGAAACUGCAUUCGAUACUACCGUGCUUGAGGACUGGAGAGGAGACUGGAAUUUACGGUGUAGCGGUGAAAUGCGUAGAUAUCGUAAGGAAGACCAGUGGCGAAGGCGGGUCUCUGGACAGUUCCUGACGCUGAGGCACGAAGGUCAGGGGAGCAAACGGG
rnacentral:rRNA from 1 species